AGCAAGGCAUUGAAAAUGAGUGCUAAAAAGAAAAGUCCUGUUUACCCUGGCCGUAUUUUGUCUGUAAACAGACUGUUGCCUCUGCUAAAAGAGAGAAGAGAUGGAGAAAAGCCUUAAAAUGGACACCCGACUUGCAUAUUCAAGGACCAGCAAAGAGGCUGAGGAAACGAACAGCCAGGAUAUGUGGAGCCUUGUAGACCACUGUCAAGACUGACUUUUCCUUGAGUGAAAUUGAGAAUGAUUAAAUGUUUUUGAA
rnacentral:lncRNA from 1 species